rnacentral:lncRNA from 1 species
AAUUGCACAAAUAUUCACAGCACACUUCUCAAUUUGUAGCUACUAGAAACUAUCUUUUAUUAACAAACAUGGUGGUCAAUAGGUCCAACAGUUAGCAACAACCAGCCAGUUGUUGGACUGCAUUUCAGAGAUGUUGUACAUAAUGGAGAACAGGGGUACAUGAUGAACUGACAGAGAUGGUGGUAUCUUGGUGUUGGGACACUACCUCAAAAUUCUGUUGAUUCCUAUGUGAACACCUACAAGAAGUAGGCUGAGAACUCUUGUUAAGUGCAGGUCCAAAAUACCUUCCAAAAUAAUGUUCGUGUUACACUAUUGAUAAGAUACACAGACCUUUGAAUUUCAGUUCUUUCAGGUCCACCCUGCUUUCAUAUCACUGCUUU